UCGAACCGUGCGAACGUUGUUCGGAAUCACUGGGCUUAAAGGGCGCGUAGGCGGGCCAUCAAGUCAGGGGUGAAAUCCUCCAGCUUAACUGGAGAACUGCCUUUGAUACUGGUGGUCUUGAGUGGGGUAGGGGCAUGCGGAACAAUGGGUGGAGCGGUGAAAUGCGUUGAUAUCCAUUGGAACUCCGGUGGCGAAAGCGGCGUGCUGGACCUCUACUGACGCUGAGGCGCGAAAGCCAGGGGAGCAAACGGGA
rnacentral:rRNA from 1 species